AUCAAAUAAGUCGAAAUACGUCGUAUAAUGUUGGGGAUAUGGCCCAAAAGUUUCUACCAAGCUACCGUAAAUGGCUUGACUACGAGGUGUUCAUUGCUAGUU
rnacentral:ncRNA from 1 species